GCUGACUCUAAAGCUACAAUACUGCUAAUGAGACACCACCCCAUCCCACCGAAGCAGGACAGGGAGGAGCCCCUCUUUCUUCCCAGAGCGGAUCAUCGGGGG